ACGGAAGGCAGCAGUGGGGAAUAUUGCACAAUGGGGGGAACCCUGAUGCAGCAACGCCACGUGUGGGAAGAAGCAUUUCGGUGUGUAAACCACUGUCGUGAGGGAAUAAUGCUUGGCUCCGGCCAAGUUGAAUGUACCUCGAAAGGAAGCACCGGCAAACUUCGUGCCAGCAGCCGCGGUAAUACGAGGGGUGCAAGCGUUGUUCGGAAUCACUGGGCGUAAAGGGAGCGUAGGCGGAGACGCAAGCAGUCUGUACAAUCCCGGGGCCCAACCCCGGACCUGCAGUCCGGACUGCACCUCUUGGAUAGUUCAGGGGCAAGCGGAAUUCCUGGUGUAGCGGUGGAAUGCGUAGAGAUCAGGAAGAACACCGAUGGCGAAGGCAGCUUGCUGGGGACUUAUCGACGCUCAUGCUCGAAAGUGCGGGUAGCAAACAGGAUUAGAUACCCUGGUA
rnacentral:rRNA from 1 species